rnacentral:lncRNA from 1 species
CCCACACCUCUUAAUAUAUUUCUUCCUUGAAGCAACCCAUCGAGGAUUAUUAUCCUAUUAUUUAUAAUAUCCCCAGUUUACACAUGGGGAAACUAAGGCCCAGAAGGUCAACACUCACCUAAUUAUAUAUAGCUAAAUUCAUGAUGGAGCUGGAACUGGAACCCAAGCUCUUAACCACUCAGCCCUAUCUGCCUCUCGAGUUAAUAUAGACAUUGCUGGGUGGUGUCAUGACAAAGCAUCUCCUGUCCACUGGACUUGCUGAAGGUGCAGUGUUCCAAAAGGAGAUCCCACACAGGGUGAAGACACAAUGCAGAUCCCAGCCAAUCUGGUCUGCCAUUAGAUUGGCUAUCACGCUUUAAUAUGGCUGAACCACAUUUUCUAGUUUUCAGUCAUUGCAUUUCUGUACAGCACACAGAAAUCCCCUUGAGUACCCAGGUUUGAAAUGUUUUCUCCUGCAAAGUCAGAAAUCUUGCCUAGGUCUGAAUCCUUUAGAUCAGGGAUUGGCAAACUUUUUCUGCAAAGGGCUUGACAGGAAACAUUUAGGCUCUUGCAGGCCGUAGCAUCUCUGAUACAGCUGCUCAACUCUGCUGUUGUAGCUCAAAAACUGGCUGUCAUUUGCUGACUUUAGGUAAGAUAGCUUGGAAUUCUCUGUGCUGGUUGCUCUGGAUAAAUCAAAGACAGACUAGUUAAAUUUCCUUGUUCUAUCCCAUGAUUUUUUUUUCCCAUAAUUUUGGGUUUUUGUAAUCUACCCCAAGCAAAUGAUUCCUUAAUCGAAACCUUACCAUUUAUAUCAAAAGAGCAUUUCUAAAUUUUGAGGAAAAAAAUUCACAGGUGCAGUUUAUGUGUCAAAAUCAGAAAGAGGCAAGGUGUUAUCUAAUUUUCAAGGCAGGCAUUGUUUUCCAAAAUGAUGUCUUUUAUUAACUUGGGACAUUUCAGAAUAUUUGUAUAUAUUCCUAAUUUAUCAAGGAGGCUCAUUUUGUUCACUGAUUAUGCUGUUUUUCCCUUCUGCUUCUAAAAGAAACGCAUGCUUUUUUCCCCCUAAGGAUGGCUCAUAUCCAAGAGCUUUGAUUUACUUAGAAAUAGCGCUUAAGGCCGUAUUUUAGUACCAUUAGGAUUGUGUUAUGUUGGUACUAAAGCACUUAAUGGACAUUCAGUGUUAUGUUUUGUGUCCUGAUUUAGCCCUAAUGUUGGAUAUUUGCUGAUCUAAGCAGCUUGGUCUAAAUUAGUUCAAGGCAAGCCUCAGCGUAUGAAACAAAGAUUCAAAAUUCUGUUACCACAGUGCUGAAAGUAUGUGCCCAGUCACCAGUUCAUAGAGUUCUAUAAAAGGACACUGCUUGUCCCCUAAGGCAUUUGUUCAGGCUGGAGCAGGUCUUGGGCUGGUGGGGGGAGGUCAAUCUAGACAAAGAGUUAAAUGUUUGGUAUGCUGCCUAGCAUUUGAAGACAAUAUUUGCAUGCAGUUGUAUUCAAUUUUUAGUUGGGUUCUGGCACACAGUAACAAAGGCAUUUGUUUGAAGAUGAGAGUGACAUGCUUUUGGUAAACAAAGAUGUUUUGUGACAAAAAUGAGAGGAAGCAAAUUCUAUGACUUAAGAUCAGUCCCAUGUACUUGGCUUUUUUAUUAUGUAUGUUUUAAUAAGUGUGUUUUAAACUUGACUUUGCACUCCUUUAUUUUUAUAUAAAAACUCAGAAUGGCUAACAGGGUCAUGAAUGCUAUUUAAAUGAUUCGAGAAUCUUCGGAAAAUGUAUGUAUACAAAUCCAGCAAGCUUUAUGGUUUUCUGGCUUUGAAAGGACAAUGUGAUACAGAAUGUACUUAUGAGUUAAUUAAAUGAUAACAUACCAAGGCAAUUUAUUAUGGACAUCAAAUAAAGCCUAGUUAAAGAAAAAAUAGUUGUAUGGUAAAUUUAGAAUGCCUUAGACUUCCUAGAGAUGAAAAUUAACUGGUUUUUAAAUUAACCAGCAGAGGCCUGUAUCUAAAAUUAAAUUUCUAUUAUUUUUAGUCAAAGAAAUAUAAUGCCAUGUGGGAGCUUUUUUUGAAAGGACUCUAAUUAUAGAGGGUUAAUAUUUCAAUAAUGGCAUCAAAAUACUGCAGUAAUAUAUUCUCAGCAAGUAGACACUAUUCUUGUUAAGAAAAAUAAAAAUAUGUCAGUUAUUCAGUCCUAAGUUGUGUAUUGUAUUGGUUUUAAUUAUUAUAUAGUUAUGUUAUAGUCUGAAACUUAAGCUAUUUCACUGAAUCAUCUUGAAAAGAUAGUAUUAUUUAGACAGUAAAACUUCAAGGUGAAUGGCAUCAUGUAAUACGCCUCAGAAAAUUAGAAAGUAUAAUAUUCGGAAUCCCUAGCUCAACUCUUGCCACCUCUUAGUGUUUUCAUAACCAAGCUCCAGGUAAUUAUUUCCCACCUGCUUUUGGCUCAACACUGCUGGGUAUUGUUCCAAAUAUUUCCAGCCACAAUCAAGGAAUUUACAUGAAAAGAUAAUUUCUAAAAUUUUGAGAGAAAAAUUCACAGGUGCAGUUUAUGUGUCAGAUAUAAUCAGGAAGAGACAAAGUGCUAUCAAAUUUUGAGGGCAUUGUUUUAAAAAUGGUUUCUUUUAUUUCCCCUAGAUAUUUCAGAAUAUUAGGAAAUAUUCUGAAUUGAUCAAGGAGGCUGAUUUCAUUCACCAUUUGUACUCUGAUAUUUUUUUCUCUUGCUUCUAAAAGAAAUACAGGCUUUUUUCUCCUAAGGAUGGUUCAUAUACAAGGGUUUUGAUUUACUCAGAAGUUACACUCUAGGCAUCUUUUGGUACUAUAACGAUUGUGUUAUGUUAGUACUACAGUGCUUAAUGGACAUUCAUACUUAACAUUUUCAAAUUUUUGAGAAUACAUUCACCAUGUACAAAAUACGGGUAGAUAAUUAGAAUCUACACUCUCUUCCAGCCUGCUUUAGACUGGGAGCAGAUGGUCAGCCAAUAGACCACAUUGGUUUAGAUAUCCCAAUAAAAUGUUAAUGAAAAAGAAAAUUCAUAUUUUUUAUCUCCAAAAGUUCACUGAAAUUAUGUUAGGAAAUAAACGGUCACAUGUCAAUAUUUAAGUAUUUCUCUGAAGCACGGUGUAGUUUUACUCAAAUACAUUUUACUUUUCAGGACAAAACCCAACAAUUUCUUACAUCUGACAUAUAAUUAUUGGUCAAAAUGUGUUUUUCUAAUAUUGUACAUCUUCUAAAAUAGGUCUCUAUAUUCUUUUAUAUUUACUAGCACUUGUUUUGCAAAGGCCUAAAAAUUAUAGAAAAAUAUAAUGCCAGUUUUACUGUUUAUAAAUAUCCUCAACAUUACUUUAUCUAUAAGUAUAAAAAAUACUUGUUAAUAUAGUAGACUAUUCCUAUAGAGAGAGCACCCUGCUAUAUUUGCAGAUACAACAUAUGUAUAUGAUCUAUAUACCAUAUCCAUAUAUAUUAUAUGUUACACUUGAGGUAACAUAUAGUAUAUAUGGAACUUUAAAUUCAGCACAGUAACUAACAGUCUCAAUAAAUAUUAGAAUUUUUUAAAAUUGUGGCCCAUUGAUAAUAUUGGUAUCUUUCUAUUUAGAUCCAAAAUAUUUGAGACUUGAGAAUAAUUAUGUGAUAUUUCUUAAAUAUCUCUAUAUUUUAUUAUUAACAUGUUUAAUUUAUUCAUAAAUUCUGGAUAGCCAUAUCUCCAAUAAUAUGAUUUCCUACCUAAAUAUUAAAGCUGGUGAGUUCCCGUUGUGGCCCAGCAGGUUAAGAACCAGACAUAGUGUCCAUGAGGAUGUGUGGUCCAUCCCUGGCCUUGCUCAGUGAGUUAAGGAUCCAUUGUUACCGCAAGCUGCAGUGUAAGUCGCAGAGUCAGCUCAGAUCCAGCAUUUCUGUGGCUGUGGUGUAGGCCAGCAGCUGCAGCUCCGAUUCAGCCCCUAGCCUGGUAACUUCCAUAUGCU